CCAUCGUCAAACUACACCAUCUCUACCUUUAUAAUAAUACACAUUCAAUCUUUAAAUUUAUAUAAUUAUCAAUGGUACCUGCCUCUCAAACAACAUCAAGAACACAUAAAAUCAACAAAGCCCAAAUAGCUAUUGGUUGUAAGAAUCAAUGGAGGAUGAGAUUAGCAAGUUCUUGAAGGUAUGGCUCACAGUAUUUGCAUCUUUAUUCUAUUGCUAUGCAAUUGGCAAGCAAUUCCCACAAGGAAAAACAAGAUUUCUUUUAUUACUCCCAAUUGUGUGUCUCUUUCUGUACCUUCCUCUACAUCUCUCCACUAUCCAUCUUGGUGGGAUGACAGCAUUUUUCAUAGCUUGGCUUGCCAAUUUUAAGCUCUUGCUCUUUGCUUUUGGUAAGGGUCCUUUAUCAUCUCAAAAUGCAUCAAUCUCGCUACCUAGUUUUCUUACUUUUGCUUGUUUACCCAUCAAAAUUCAAGAAAACCCACCUCCCAAAAAACAAAAUAAUCAAAAUCCAUCUUCUAAAAUGUCUAGAAAGGCUGAGAAAUCUCCUCUAAAUUAUGCAAUAAAAGGCAUUCUUUUAGCUAUUUUCGUACGUGUCUAUGAUUACAGCGAUCAUAUCCAUCCAAAUAUCAUAUUAUUUCUCUAUGGUCUCCACAUGUACUUCUUUCUUGAGAUUGUCCUAGCCAUGCUUGCAUACCUGGUUCGAACCAUUUUAGGAUUUCAGCUCGAGCCACCCUUCAAUGAUCCAUAUCUCUCUUCUUCAUUACAAGACUUCUGGGGUAGAAGAUGGAAUCGAAUUACCAAUGGCAUCUUACGCCCAACUGUGUAUGAGCCUACACUCAACAUCAGUACACAUGUCAUGGGUAGAGAGUGGGCCCCAAUCCCAGCUAUUUUGGCCACUUUUUUUGUCUCAGCCAUCAUGCACGAACUCAUAUUUUAUUAUAUUGGGGGCGUGAGACCCACGUGGCAGGUGACAUGGUUUUUUAUUUUUCAUGGGUUUUGUUUGGUGAUUGAAAUUGUAUUAAAGAAGGCAAUUAAAGGCAGGUGGCAGUUGCCUGAUCUAAUCUCGGGGAUUUUAGUGGUUGGUUUUGUAGUGGUGACUGGCUAUUGGCUUUUCUUUCCGCAAUUCCUCCAUCAAUGCAAGGCAGAUGUUAGAGCGCUGGAAGAAUACGCAGCACUAGGCGCGUUUGUAAAGAAUUCCUUUUGGACAUUUUUUUGGCCCAAGAGUGCCAAGUGGGUUGAUUAGAUCAUUGUCAUAUUCUCAUACUAGGCUUUAUGUCCUGAACGCGAUGCUCUUAGUAUUAUUUUUUCUUAUAUUUCUUAUAUUUAUUAUGUAAAUAGGAUAAAUAAUUAUAAAUUCA
rnacentral:misc_RNA from 1 species